GGGCGCUUAGCUCAGCGGGGAGAGCGCCGCCCUUACAAGGCGGAGGUCGGAGGUUCGAGCCCUCCAGCGCCCA
rnacentral:tRNA from 1 species